CACCGCCUGGGGAGUACGACCGCAAGGUUAAAACUCAAAUGAAUUGACGGGGACCCGCACAAGUAGUGGAGCAUGUGGUUUAAUUCGAAGAUACGCGCAGAACCUUACCAACACUUGACAUGUUCGUCGCGACUUUAAGAGAUUAAAGUUUUCGGUUCGGCCGGACGAAACACAGGUGCUGCAUGGCUGUCGUCAGCUCGUGUCGUGAGAUGUUGGGUUAAGUCCCGCAACGAGCGCAACCCUCACUUUUAGUUGCCAUCAUUAAAUUGGGCACUCUGAAAGAACUGCCAGUGAUAAGCUGGAGGAAGGUGGGGAUGACGUCAAGUCCUCAUGGCCCUUACGUGUUGGGCUACACACGUGCUACAAUGGUAUUUACAACAGGAAGCAAGACGGCGACGUUAAGCAAAUCCUUAAAAAAUACCUCAGUUCGGAUUGCACUCUGCAACUCGAGUGCAUGGAGCUGGAAUUACUAGUAAUCGUGGAUCAGCGUGCCACGGUGAAUGCGUUCCCGGGUCUUGUACACACCGCCCGUCACACCAUGGGAGUUGGUUCUACCUUAAGGCAAGGUUUCAAAUCCUUGACCACGGUAUAGUCAGCGACUGGGGUGAAGUCGUAACAAGGUAGCCGUAGGGGAACCUGCGGCUGGAUUACCUCCUUUCUAAGGAUGAAUGAAAGUUAAUUUCAUUCUAAAUAAUAUACAGGUAAUGUUGACCGUCCUCAUUUCUCUUCUUAAAAUAGUGUUUCUCUUGCAUGGGGGCCGGUAGCUCAGUUGGUUAGAGCACACCCUUGAUAAGGGUGGGGUCGAAAGUUCGAGUCUUUCUCGGCCCACCAAAUUUAAGAUCAUGGGGGAUUAGCUCAGCUGGGAGAGCGCCUGAUUUGCAUUCAGGAGGUCAGCGGUUCGAUCCCGCUAUCCUCCACCAAAAAAACACUUAGUUAUUAAAAAAGUAAAUAAAAAUAAUAAUUAAUAUCAAUAUCUAUAUCCGAACAUUAGUAAUUUUAUUAUCUAAUGUUCAUUAAAAAAUUUGAUUCAACACAGAAUUUUUUUCUG
rnacentral:sRNA from 1 species